rnacentral:rRNA from 1 species
GAUGAACGCUGGCGGCGUGCCUAAUACAUGCAAGUCGAGCGAACAGACGAGGAGCUUGCUCCUCUGACGUUAGCGGCGGACGGGUGAGUAACACGUGGAUCACCUACCUAUAAGACUGGGGUAACUUCGGGAGACCGGAGCUAAUAACGGAUAAUAUAUUGAACCGCAUGGUUCAAUAGUGAAUGACGGUUUUGCUGUCACUUAUAGAUGGAUCCGCGUCGCAUUAGCUAGUUGGUAAGGUAACGGCUCACCAAGGCAACGAUGCGUAGCCGAUCUGAGAGGGUGAUCAGCCACACUGGAACUGAGACACGGUCCAGACUCCUACGGGAGGCAGCAGUGGGGAAUCUUGGGCAAUGGGCGAAAGCCUGACCCAGCCACACCGCGUGAGUGAUGAAGGCCUUCGGAUCGUAAAGCUCUGUUAUUAGGAAAGAACAGCUGCGGAAUAAUCCAUGCCCGUCUUGACGGUACCUAAUGAGAAAGCACCGGCUAACUUCGUG